rnacentral:rRNA from 1 species
UACGUAGGGGCCAAGCGUUGUCCGGAAUUAUUGGGCGUAAAGAGCUCGUAGGCGGUGUGUCGCGUCGGCCGUGAAAACCUGCAGCUUAACUGUGGGCUUGCGGUCGAUACGGGCAUCACUGGAGUUCGGCAGGGGAGACUGGAAUUCCUGGUGUAGCGGUGAAAUGCGCAGAUAUCAGGAGGAACACCGGUGGCGAAGGCGGGUCUCUGGGCCGAUACUGACGCUGAGGGGCGAAAGCGUGGGGAGCGAACAGG